CCGGCGGGGCGAGCGCCCCCGGUGCCGCGGCCGGUGCCCACGGCCUGGGCGGCAGGGAGCUCCGGCGGGGGCGGUAGGGAGCUCCAGCGGGGGCGGCACGGCUUGGGGCGGCAGGGAGCGUUGGAGAAGAUACGGGUUAGGAGAAAAAAAAAAGAAAAGACGAUGACAUGUGGGCCCAUAUAUGACAUGUGGGUCCCACUAAACACAUGCAGCUAACGGUGUUACCCGAGCCAUCCGUCCCUCGUUUUCAAUCCAUCGUACCAAAUAAAAAACUGGGAUGAAUUCAUCCCUCUCAACCAAACAGCAGACGGGAUGAUCCCAUCCCAAAAAAUAGAGACGGCACCGUCCCAUCCCAUCUUGUCUCCAAACCAAACGCACCCUUACAGUCUGUAACUGAUCAGGUUGAUGAGAGCAAAGUGUUGAAGAUUAGGACUGAGGGACUUUUGACACAGCUAUUGAUUCCAUUCAGACUGCUUUUGUAAAAGAGGUAUAGGCUUAUUACGGAUUGGGUGCUGCCCUUUUAUAAACAACUCAAGAAUUGGAAUAAAAGCGAAUCAGUGUUCUAUUUUAUUUGGAAAGCAUGUACUACAAGGUUACUAGAUUUUUUUAAGGUGCUAGACACAUGAACGGUUUUACGUUCCUAUGGGCAGAUUGGGUGGUGAAAACUAGUCUCGUGGAGAGGGUUCUUCGACUUUACUAGGUGGUGGCGCGUCUGACAUCACUUGCUGCGCAAGAGGAUAUCAUGUAGACAGUAGAGAGA
rnacentral:lncRNA from 1 species